GGGUCAGUAGGUUGGUCGUGCCACCGGUACGUACUGGUCUCACUGAUUCCUCCUUCCUGAAGAACCGUAAUGCCAUUAAUUUGGUGUUGCGGGGAAACAGGACUGUUACUUUGAAAAAAUUAUAGUGUUUAAAGCAAGCUAACGCUUGAAUACAUUAGCAUGGAAUAAUGAAAUAGGACGAUAGAUCCUAUUUUGUUGGUUUCUAGUAUUGACGUA
rnacentral:rRNA from 1 species